CAACAACAGUUGCUAUAAAUUAUUGUUUCCAAAGCAAUGUGCGCAAGCGAAAUAGCUCUAAAAUAGCAGAUUAAAAUGAAAAAACAACUGAUUAAAGUUAAUCAAUGUAUUCUGGGAGGAGGGCGGAUCAGCUUAUAAUUGAUCCAUGCGUGAAUUCAGAGAUAUGCUAAAAGGUUUAUCUAAGGCGAUUUCACAUGCACUUACACCCAUGUUCUCUCAGACACAUUUGAGAUAAAUAUCAUUUUUAAUUCAUAUCUUCUGAUUUAUAGUUUCCUUGACAUCUGCAGUUUUGUACGACAAUUGGAUCAUUGAGGCCCUCGUUAAACUGAGACAUUGAACUUUUUCAUCUACAUUGAAAAUAUCUUACACAGAAAAGGCAUACAACUUAAAGUUCCUAAUAAUCAUUUUGGGAGGAGGCCGUCGUAGAUCCAGGGGAGGUUAUUCUAAAGUUUUCAGCAUCGGAAGAAAAAAAACUUUUUGCCCAUUUGAAAUUUUUGCCCAGCUGAUAUUUUGUUGGCGAGCUAAGAUCUGUCUGAAUAUCAUGUUGGCAUUACGAUAACAUUUUUGAAAACGGUUCACCAGGUAUUGUGAAACUAAGUCAUUGAGGGACUUGAGGGCCAAAGUUUUUAACUCUUUUUGCUUUAUUCUCUUUGUUGUGAAAAUAUUCAAUUGUUUGGCAAUAAAUCAUUAUUGUAUUCCUUGAACGACAGGUUCGUCUUGAAAAUGGUGUCGAAUGCUGGCUAAAAUCGUUGCUCAGUCAAACUAAGUCUACACUGAAAAAUUUGAUGCAGCAAUGCCGUGUUGACAUCGAAAAUGGGAUGUCCAUUGAAGACUGGACAUUUAAGUAUCCAUCACAAGUCGUACUCAUCAAUCUUUUUCAUAUUUGGACAUUGGAAUGUGAAUCGGGAAUAUCCGAAAUCCGCGUCGAAAGGAAAGCUUUGGCCAUUGCCCUCAGGAGGUACACAACAUUGUUUAAUAAGAUCCCACAGAUCAUAGCACGUGGUGCCUGGAGGAAUUCCGAUGUAGCACUAAGCGCUGUGCAUCAGUCUCGCCUCGAAUCACUGAUAAGUGUGAGUUUCAGAAGUUUCUCUCAACUUCAAAUGAUUCAUUCAUGCCUGUUGUCUUGUGAGGGGAGGGGGGCAGUGGCAAGGGAGAACAAGGGCCUCCUUUCCUGCUCAUCUCAGUGCCGUCAGAACGAAAUUCAUGUUGGGGGGUGUCUAUUGUAUUGCUUCCCAUUUAGUACGCUAUUAUGGUGGAAAUAUAGUACAGCAUGACAAUUAUUUGGGGGGGGGCAGCUCCCCGCUUCUGACGGCCCUGCAGCUAAAGCAUAGCGAAACAGUGGGGGGGGGGGCUGAGUAGUAAAUGAAAACCUGAAUGCACUAAUUCAGUGUCCGGGAACCUUUGGCACUCGUGGAAGACCGAGGACAGUUAUUGGGUGAAGCAUGGGUGAAGCGAGCUUCACGACGAGCUCGGGGAGAAGUUGUCUCAUGCUAUUGUCAUGUUAUUGUCCCAAACAAAAUCUUCCUAAAAAACUGGAAAAAUGCUUUUUCAGAGCUUUCCAUGGUGCGGUAAAGCCAUUUGAAAUGUAGUCUCCAGUGACAAACCGAUAAGAACUUUCCUCAUUGAGAUUUUAUUGUAGAAUUUGAGCGAUUCGUUGACCCGCUUGUUGUAUUCUUGUUCAAUGAACCCGAUGCAUAUAACUAAAUAAUUCACAUCACGUGCACUAUAAGAAGAAGGUCUGAAUCCGAGUUUGCUUGGCCUGCGUGCAGACUCGGAAAUUUAAAAGAGGAGAGAAAAUAGAGUCUGCGUAAUAGAGCCGCUUUUCUUGUUCGCUGACAUCAACAUUUUAUUCUAAGCACUAUAACAACAACUCAAUUAGCGUGCAAUGUUUUUCUGUAAUUUUAAUUGCUCAAAAGAACAAACAGACCUAUUCUAUUAUCCUAAUACCAUUCAUUUAUACUUCUACUCGAAGGCGCCACUCUGAAAACUGAAAAAAAGCAAUUGAAAUUCCCCCAACCAAUCAAUUUCGGUUCCUUGAUUCUGAGGAACCUGUGAACAAGAAAAUUGUCUCUACCUUUUCUCCUGUUUUCAAUUUUGUCAACAGAGUCUGCACGCAGGCUAAUUUGGCUUAUUGUAUUUUGCGAAAAUUUUCGCAUAAUGCGAAAAUGCGAAAUUUCGCAAAAUACAAGUUUCGAGGUGGUAUUUUGUAAAAUGCGAAAACUGAUUCUAAAAACUUUAUUUGCCCAGAUCAACGACCGAAAACAAGCAAUUCAUAUUCAGGGCGACUCUGUUCAUGCAAAUAGCCUAGUUCAUGUCCCAUUUAACGUUAGAUAACUCAUGGACACAUUUUGGAAAAUGGUUCAAAAACCAACCACACCAAGGCCAUGAACGGCCUAAUUGUGAAUUGCCCAUUCCAGCGAAAGACGAUAACAGUAAGCAUCCCGGUGCUUGCUAAUUGGUAAUUGGUAAAUACCCAACAUUCUGCGUGUUCUGUGUUGUUUUAGGGGUAAUUUACGCCUUUAUCCACAAGGCCUAUUUUCCUGCCUAUUUCCCGGUGAAACCGGCGUGGCUGGAAAAGGACGGGGGUGAUGUCAAAAGAUUUUCGCAAAAUACAAAAUGGCUGGGGGUUUUUGUAUUUUGCGAAAACUCGCCAAACAUUGUCGAAAUGUUAGUUUUUAUUUGAAUAAAUGUACGGUAAGGCUUUAGAAAGAGGUUUUGGGUUUUUUUGAUAGUGUAGCAGGAACCAAUAACAAAAAGGUGCAUGCAUUUUCUUUGGCGCCAGACAAUGACUCACUUCUUAUUUUAAUUAACAGAAAUUAGCAGGACGCCCAUUAUUUGUGUCAUCAACGCGUGAAGACUUCUCUCUUCUCAUUCAUAAUGACAUUUUUCUUUUGUUCUACUUCCUGGGUGCCUAUUUGUGCCAAUCUGGUGACAUUCCAUGUGAUUGAAUUUUAUCGGUUGGGCGAGUUUUCGCAAAAUACAAAAACCCCCAGCCAUUUUGUAUUUUGCGAAAAUUCUUUAAUUGGAUCGAAUCUUUUGAUGCCUACUCAAUUGACAAGAUUUUAAAUACAGUCCAAAGCUUUUCCGUACAUUUUCUCAAAUAAAAACUAACAUUUCGACAAUGUUUCGCGAGUUUUCGCAAAAAUCGAAAAACCCCCAGCCUUUUUGUAUUUUGCGAAAAUUCUUUAAUUUGAUCGAAUCUUUUGAUGCCUACUCAAAAAAACAAAAUUUUAAAUACAAUCCAAAGCCUUUCCGUACAUCUUCUCAAAUAAAAACUAACAUUUCGACAAUGUUUGGCGAGUUUUCGCAAAAUACAAAAACCCCCAG